UCCACACCGCCUUGCAAGCUGAGGGAGCCGGCUCCGGCCUCUGCCAGCCCAGGAAGGGGCUCCCACAGUGCAGCGGCGGGCUGAAGGACUCCUCAAGUGCCACCAAAGUGGGAGCCCAGGCAGAGGAGGCGCCGAGAGCGAGCGAGGGCUGCCUGCCAGCACGCUGUCACGUCUCAGCAAUAGACUGCUCUUGAGGCUGGAGUGCAAUGUUGUUAUCAUAGCUCACUGCAACCUGGAACCCCUAGUCUCAAGAGAUCCUCCAGCCUCAGCCUCCCUGAAAGACUUCACCUUCAUCUCUGAUCUCAAAAUGAGAAGGCACGUGGAUGAGAUCCAAGCAAAGCUAAGCAGACUCAACCACAGUGGGAAGAGCACAGCUGCCGCUGCAGACGGGGCAUAAGAAGCAAAUCUUUUGAAGAAGUUACUGAGAUUGAGAUUUUUGUUAUCGCAGCAAACCUGAUAAGCACAGGAAAAUACAAAAGACCCAGAAGAAAAUGGAUACAAUUUCAAGAGUGAUUUCUUUAAGUUUAUGGGAAAAGGUAUGAUCUCAUACACAAUGCCUAUGUCUGUGUAGAAUAUAAUCCAAUGUAAACUGGAACACAUGGAAAAAAAAUAAAUUACAUAAAAUAAUUGUAUUUAUAAAUAUGUAUGGACAUGCAGUAAGAAACCCUGACAUGUACAUUUACACCUUUCAAAAAA
rnacentral:lncRNA from 1 species